rnacentral:tRNA from 1 species
ACCAAUCUGACUCAGUUGGUAGAGCAUGAGACUCUUAAUCUCAGGGUUGUGAGUUUAAGCCCAUGUUGGGCA